GGAGCCGUGGCUGAGUGGUUUAAGGCGCACGCUUGGAAAGCGUGUUGGGUGGUAACGCCCCCGAGGGUUCGAAUCCCUCCGGCUCCUCCA
rnacentral:tRNA from 1 species